GACGAACGCUGGCGGCGUGCCUAACACAUGCAAGUCGAGCGAGAAUCUUUCAUUGGAACCCUUCGGGGUGAAGAAGGAAGAGGAGAGCGGCGGACGGGUGAGUAACGCGUGAGCAACCUGCCUUAAGGAGGGGGAUAACACAGGGAAACCUGUGCUAAUACCGCAUAAAAUAUAAUUACCGCAUGGUAGAUAUAUCAAAACUCCGGUGCCUUAAGAUGGGCUCGCGUCCAAUUAGCUAGUUGGAGGGGUAACGGCCCACCAAGGCAACGAUUGGUAGCCGGACUGAGAGGUUGAACGGCCACAUUGGAACUGAGAAACGGUCCAGACUCCUACGGGAGGCAGCAGUGGGGGAUAUUGCGCAAUGGGGGAAACCCUGACGCAGCAACGCCGCGUGAAGGAAGAAGGCCUUCGGGUUGUAAACUUUUGUCUUUUGGGAAGAAGAAUGACGGUACC
rnacentral:rRNA from 1 species